GAUGAACGCUGGCGGCGUGCUUAACACAUGCAAGUCGAACGAUGAAGCCCAGCUUGCUGGGUGGAUUAGUGGCGAACGGGUGAGUAACACGUGAGUAACCUGCCCUUAACUCUGGGAUAAGCCUGGGAAACUGGGUCUAAUACCGGAUAGGAGCGCCUACCGCCUGGUGGGUGUUGGAAAGAUUUAUCGGUUUUGGAUGGACUCGCGGCCUAUCAGCUUGUUGGUGAGGUAAUGGCUCACCAAGGCGACGACGGGUAGCCGGCCUGAGAGGGUGACCGGCCACACUGGAACUGAGCCACGGCCCAGACUCCUACGGGAGGCAGCAGUGGGGAAUAUUGCACAAUGGACGAAAGCCUGAUGCAGCGACGCCGCGUGAGGGAUGACGGCCUUCGGGUUGUAAACCUCUUUCAGUAGGGAAGAAGCGAAAGUGACGGUACCUGAAGAAGAAGCACCGGCUAACUACGUG
rnacentral:rRNA from 1 species